GGCUUCAACCAUAACAUCCUCAACAACCUCCUCAACAACAUCCUCAACAACAUGACGGUUUUCAACCAUAACAUCCUUAACAUCCUCAACAACAUGACGGUCUUCAAGCAUAACAUCAUCACCUUCAUUUCCAACUUCAUUUACAAAUUCAUCCUUCUUCUCAUCAUCUUUCAAACCAUCAUCACCAACCUCACCAGCAUGCUGAUCAACAACAUCAUCAACUUCAUCAGAAUCAUCGGCUUCAUCAUCAUCAUCA
rnacentral:lncRNA from 1 species